rnacentral:misc_RNA from 1 species
UACGUAGGGAGCGAGCGUUACCCGGAAUUACUGGGCGUAAAGGGCGCGUAGGCGGUUGGGUAAGUCUUCUGUGAAAGCUCCCGGCUUAACCGGGAGAGGUCAGGGGAUACUACUCGACUUGAGGGCAGUAGAGGAAGGUGGAAUUCCCGGUGUAGCGGUGAAAUGCGUAGAUAUCGGGAGGAAUACCAGUGGCGAAGGCGGCCUUCUGGGCUGUACCUGACGCUGAGGCGCGAGAGCGUGGGGAGCAAACUGG